GUCUAGGACCCCUGGGUGGUCGCGCAGAUCCCGGACGAGCCCCCAAAUGAAAGACCCCCGAAGGGAGCCCCCCACUCAAGUCUCGGGAAAGACGCGUACCCAGUAGGACACAGACACCG
rnacentral:pre_miRNA from 14 species